AACGAACGCUGGCGGCAUGCCUAACACAUGCAAGUCGAACGAGACCUUCGGGCCUAGUGGCGCACGGGUGCGUAACGCGUGGUAACCUGCCCUUAGGUUCGGAAUAACUCCCCGAAAGGGGUGCUAAUACCGGAUAAUGUCUUCGGACCAAAGAUUUAUCGCCUUUGGAUGGGCCCGCGUUGGAUUAGCUAGUUGGUAGGGUAAAAGCCUAUCAAGGCGACGAUCCAUAGCUGGUCUGAGAGGAUGAUCAGCCACGAUGGGACUGAGACACGGCCCAGACUCGUACGGGAGGCAGCAGUGGGGAAUAUUGGACGAUGGGCGAAAGCCUGAUCCAGCAAUGCCGCGUGAGUGAUGAAGGCCUUAGGGUUGUAAAGCUCUUUUACCCGGGAUGAUAAUGACAGUACCGGGAGAAUAAGCACCGGCUAACUCCGUG
rnacentral:rRNA from 1 species